rnacentral:rRNA from 1 species
CGUGCCUAAUACAUGCAAGUCGAGCGAACGGACGAGAAGCUUGCUUCUCUGAUGUUAGCGGCGGACGGGUGAGUAACACGUGGAUAACCUACCUAUAAGACCGGGAUAACUUCGGGAAACCGGAGCUAAUACCGGAUAAUAUUUUGAACCGCAUGGUUCAAAAGUGAAAGACGGUCUUGCUGUCACUUAUAGAUGGAUCCGCGCUGCAUUAGCUAGUUGGUAAGGUAACGGCUUACCAAGGCAACGAUGCAUAGCCGACCUGAGAGGGUGAUCGGCCACACUGGAACUGAGACACGGUCCAGACUCCUACGGGAGGCAGCAGUAGGGAAUCUUCCGCAAUGGGCGUAAGCCUGACAGAGCAACGCCGCGUGAGUGAUGAAGGUCUUCGGAUCGUAAAACUCUGUUAUUAGGGAAGAACAUAUGUGUAAGUAACUGUGCACAUCUUGACGGUACCUAAUCAGAAAGCCACGGCUAACUACGUGCCAGCAGCCGCGGUAAUACGUAGGUGGCAAGCGUUAUCCGGAAUUAUUGGGCGUAAAGCGCGCGUAGGCGGUUUUUUAAGCCUGAUGUGAAAGCCCACGGCUCAACCGUGGAGGGUCAUUGGAAACUGGAAAACUUGAGUGCAGAAGAGGAAAGUGGAAUUCCAUGUGUAGCGGUGAAAUGCGCAGAGAUAUGGAGGAACACCAGUGGCGAAGGCGACUUUCUGGUCUGUAACUGACGCUGAUGUGCGAAAGCGUGGGGAUCAAACAGGAUUAGAUACCCUGGUAGUCCACGCCGUAAACGAUGAGUGCUAAGUGUUUAGGGGGUUUCCGCCCCUUAGUGCUGCAGCUAACGCAUUAAGCACUCCGCCUGGGGAGUACGACCGCAAGGUUGAAACUCAAAGGAAUUGACGGGGACCCGCACAAGCGGUGGAGCAUGUGGUUUAAUUCGAAGCAACGCGAAGAACCUUACCAAAUCUUGACAUCCUUUGACACUCUAGAGAUAGAGCCU